rnacentral:lncRNA from 1 species
GGUUGUUUCCUAGGAUUUACAUCUCUCUGUUUACACUGGCUAUCUCUUCUUGCAUGCUCUCUACUUUAUCCUUUAGAGCCCUUAGCAUCCUAGUCAUGGUUAUUUUAAAUUCCCGACCUGGUAAUUCCUGCCAUGUCUAUUUCUGAUGCUUGCUCUCUCUCUUCAGAUUGUAUUUUUGCCUUUUGGUAUGCCCUGUGAUUUUUUUUCUUGAUAGCCAGAUAUGAUGUACCAGAUAAAAGUAACUGCUGAAGUUAGGUGUUUCCCUUCUCCCAGGUCAGCUAGGCUCUGAUAAUACCCCAGCUGUGCUUAAUCCUGGUUCCACUUAACUAAUUUGCCAUGUGGGCAGGCCUUAUUAAGAACAGAGUGUUCUCAUGUAUUUCAAAAUGGUUCCUUUUCCUCUGCUGGAAGCACAAAGAGAUUUUUCUGUGGUACUUAUCGUGAGGCCCUGGUCAAACUCCUGAAGCGCUGGUUCCCGUGGAGGGUUCUGCUUCUGAAUCUCUGUCCUGCAUGGGUCUGGGUUCUGGAGAUGCUAAAUACCUAUCAAAAAGAGGUGGUGCAGUACACAACACUGACGGCCUGUUUGAAACCAGUAUCCUAAUUGGUUUACCUUCUCCCUUGAAAUAAGAGAAAGAGAAGAUUGAUGUAUGGAGAAAGGAGCCCCCCAAAUUAGGGUUCCUUUGCUUUAAACAGCUGGACAAGUCAAAGCUUCAUGAGCUGAACUUGGACUUUUUAAUGGUCAUCAGGCCAAUUACUUAAUCAAGACUGUCUGCUCCUGCAACUGGUCACACAAUUAGUGUUUAAAAAUUUUCCAGACCAUUUGUCUUUGUAUUUUCCUGUUUCCUUGGAAGUCUCAGAAACUUCUUUUAAGAUUUCAAAAUUGAUGCUUAAGAAUAAAGGAUACAACAGAAUAUAUGUGAUUUUCUUUUUUGAGCACCAGCAGGGUUCACCUACUUUCCCCGCUCUGUGAAUUUCAGUUUCGCUACCUGACGUCUUCCCCAGAGAUAGCAGUGCUGGACAGCAGUCUUAAUGAAGACAGUCAGCAUUUAUUAGCUUAAAUAUAUCUCGCUCUAGGCAAAAGCAGCAAGUAGGGGACUGUUCUUCCAGCCAGUCUUCCUUUUCUGCCCACAGAUAUAUUCAUACUAUUUUAUCCCUACCUAUUGCUUUUUGUCACCUAGGUUCCUUGCCUGGGUUAGAUCUCCCUGUCCUAACACACUUAAUGGAUCAGGUCUUAGAGUUUCAUUUGGCCAGUUCUGUUGGCUUCAUGCUGUCCUGUUCCUCUAUGUUGCUCCACUCCUGGCCUCACCCUUCUCCUGGGACAUGUAGGCGUUUAGGGUGUCAUUUUAUCUUUCACUGAUGUACUAUGGAUUGGAGGCUGGAGAAGAGGCACACUCUCAGGGCGUAUUCUUGGUAAAACAUGAAUGCUAGGAGGAUGGAUCUCCUGGUAACUA